CCACCCUUGUAUGUUUGAUGUUCUAACUUAGCCCCGUUAUCCGGGGUGAGGACAGUGCCUGGUGGGUAGUUUGACUGGGGCGGUCUCCUCCCAAAGAGUAACGGAGGAGCACGAAGGUGGGCUAAUCACGGUUGGACAUCGUGAGGUUAGUGCAAUGGCAUAAGCCCGCUUAACUGCGAGAAUGACGGUUCGAGCAGGUGCGAAAGCAGGUCAUAGUGAUCCGGUGGUUCUGUAUGGAAGGGCCAUCGCUCAACGGAUAAAAGGUACUCCGGGGAUAACAGGCUGAUACCGCCCAAGAGUUCAUAUCGACGGCGGUGUUUGGCACCUCGAUGUCGGCUCAUCACAUCCUGGGGCUGAAGUCGGUCCCAAGGGUAUGGCUGUUCGCCAUUUAAAGUGGUACGCGAGCUGGGUUUAGAACGUCGUGAGACAGUUCGGUCCCUAUCUGCCGUGGGCGUUGGAAGAUUGAAGGGGGCUGCUCCUAGUACGAGAGGACCGGAGUGGACGAACCUCUGGUGUUCGGGUUGUGUCGCCAGACGCAUUGCCCGGUAGCUAAGUUCGGAAUCGAUAACCGCUGAAAGCAUCUAAGCGGGAAGCGAGCCCUGAGAUGAGUCUUCCCUGAUACUUUAAGUAUCCUAAAGGGUUGUUCGAGACUAGAACGUUGAUAGGCAGGGUGUGUAAGCGUUGUGAGGCGUUGAGCUAACCUGUACUAAUUGCCCGUGAGGCUUAACCAU
rnacentral:rRNA from 1 species